ACAGAUAACAGCAAUGCAGAAACAAUUUGUAAUAAUAAUGUUAUAUAUACCUGUUCUGCCAGUGUUCUGCGUACAAAUAUAGGUAAGAUUUACCUGUCUUUUUGUCAUUUGCUGUUGGAUUUGACCCAGGUUAAGAUAGGUGAACUUUAAUGGAUCUAUUAGCAUAUAGAAGUCUAUGCUGGAGGAACUCACCUAUGAAAAAAGUGAGGUGAGGAAACUGUGACACUUCAGUUGUAGAUGAAUUAGAACUCCCAUCAGCUUCAGCUAGCCAGGCCACAAGUCAGGGAUGAUGGAAGAUGCAGUCCAACAACAUCUGAAGUAAGGAAUUAAUGGCUUGCAUAUGAAAAUGGGGAACCUAAUAUCACCUUAUCACAAGCAGUGGCUGAAUUUGGUUGCUGAUCGCCAAGCUUGGAGAACUUGAUUUGCAUCAACCAGGAAUACCUAUUGACCCAAACCAAUGAACUCCACUUUAGUUUUGCUUAUCAAACUAGGACAAGAAGCCUGGAAUAUAAGCUGAAUAUCCCCUUUGCUGUAAAUGCCAUUAAAAUUGAGAGUCCUUUUACAGAUGUAUGAAAACUGUAUAAAGCUGAGGAACCAGGAGAGAGAUGAACAUGCUUCACACUUGAGGGUUGAUUCGAUCCCUUUGCUUGCUCCUGAUUCACCCAUCCCUUCUACCCAGGAGGGAGUAGGUGCCAUUUUGUGGUACACCUCAGUGCCAAAAUGCCUUGGGGCAAUCCUGGGUGGGAUGGUGCUUGCUUGACCAUCCCUUCCAACAUCACUGCUACAUUCUUGGAGGGAGAGGGGCAAGGGGGUAGUAAGGUUGGUGCAAUGCAAGUGUCUUGCCAAGUGUUCAACAAUGGGAGUUCAGGGAAGCAUGCCCUGAACCUGCAAACUGUUAGGAUUGACUAGAAGAGAGAGUGCAGUGUAUGGCAGAUGUAUUGUCAGAUGUAUAGAAAUAGGCAUGAUUCUUCAUGCAACAAAUUUGACCUAAAAUGAAGUUCUGCAUAAAUUCCAAAUUUAAUGCAUUUUGCAAAUUACUGUAUUUUUUGCUCUAUAAGACUCACUUUUUCCCUCCUAAAAAGUAGGGGGAAAUGUGUGCGCGUCUUAUGCAGCGAAUGCAGGCUGCACAGCUAUCCCAGAAGCCAGAACAGCAAGAGGGAUCGCUGCUUUCGCGAUCCCUCUUGCUGUUCUGGCUUCUGGGAUUCAGAAUAUUUUUUUUCUUGUUUUCCUCCUCCAAAAACUAGGUGCAUCUUAUGGUCUGGUGCGUCUUAUAGAGUGAAAAAUACGGUAAUUGUGAACCUUAAAAGAGAAGCUGCUUCUAUGGAAUAAGGAGGCAAGAGACUACUGCUUAUGGUUGAGAGCUGAACACUUAAAUGCCUGCAGAAAACCUUUCUUUUCCAUUAAGAAUUCACUGGUUCUUAUUGUAUCUUUUAUGUAUUAUAACUGAAAAACCAUUUUGAUAUCUCUUUCCUUUUACGAUACAGCAGUGCACACACAUUUAAAUAAAUAAACAGCACCUCAUUUUAGAUUGAAUAAUACUUUCCAUAUUGUUACUUUGAAAAGGUCCUGAUACUUUCCAUUGAAAAUAAGUGGCUUCCAGCUGUACAGGAUUUAAAGUUAUGGAUAGAUUAAGAUUAAGGAUUAGGAUUAAAAAAGUUUAAGGAAAUGGAAAUUUGGUUUUUAAAAGGUAAAAUUUUAAUAUUAUAUUAUAUUAAGAGUAAAGAUUGGGAUUAAAAAAGAGGGAAAGAAAUUGCUGGACAAACAAUUUGAACUGGAAUACAAAAGAGGGAGGUACGAGGAGGUCCAGAAAAUAAGUAAAUUUAAAAAUGGAGAUGAAAAGGUGAUAUUGUUUUUAAUUGUUUUAUUUUGUUUUUUGUUUUUUGUUUUUCUUGUUUUUUUUUCUUUUGGAUUAUGUAUUGUGUAUUUUUGAAUUGUGUAUUUCUUUUUUAUGUUUUAUGUUUAAUCUUUUAUUGAAACUUUAAUAAAUAUCAUUUUUUAAAAAAUAAAAAAUGAAUAAUACUUUCCAUAUUGUUACUUUGAAAAGGUCCUGAUUCAGGCAACACAGAAAAUUGGAACAAUUAUAAUGAAUGUGCUUUAGGAGCAAUGGACUGCAUUUCCCCCCAGAUCCUGAUAGUUCUUUAAAAUUCUUUUUCACAGUUAAACCUGAAGUGCAAAUUGAGAAUACUUGUUUGUCAUCCAGAUACUGUUUCUCAGGCGAUUACAGCUUCACUGCAGUGGAUGGUAAAUUCUUUGAGAUGAAGAUGCAAUGCUGCAACACUGACCUGUGUAACAAUGCAACUCUCAGCCGUAAGUUUCUGGAUCAUUGUAGAAUCAUUAACAUGUUAGCGCUGUGCACUGGGUUUCUCCAAGGCUUGGAUCCUUAGCCAAUCAGCAUUACUCAGAGGACCUGUGCCUCGUUCAGAUGGGGUGAGACAGCCCCAGAUGGCUACAGGUUGGGUUGAGCAGCUCAGGACUAUUAGGGGCUCUCAAGGUAUGGAGAAUGAGGCAGGACGGAGAGGCAGGCAUGAGGAGAAAACUGUGAAAAAGAGGACCUACUAGGCAGCUUUGUCUCUGCCUGAGAAGGGAUGGGUUGCCUUUCCAGCCAGGCCUCUCCUUCCUGUCCCUUGAAGCAGUACCAUGAAGGAUAAUAAUAAUAAUAAUAAUAAUAAUAAUAAUAAUAAUAAUUUAUUAUUUGUACCCCGCCCAUCUGGCUGGGUUUUCCCAGCCACUCUGGGUGGCUUCCAACAAAGAUGAAAAAUACACUAAAAUGUCACAUAUUAAAAACUUCCCUGAACAGGGCUGCCUUAAGAUGUCUUCUGAAUGUCAGGUAGUUGUUUGUCGCUUUGACAUCUGAUGGGAGGGCGUUCCACAGGGCGGGCGCCACUACCGAGAAGGCCCUCUGCCUGGUUCCCUGUAACUUGGCCUCUCGCAGUGAGGGAACCGCCAGAAGGCCCUCGGAGUUGGACCUCAGUGUCCGGGCAGAACGAUGGGGGUGGAGACACUCCUUCAGGUAUACUGGACCGAGGCCGUUUAGGGCUUUAAAGGUCAGCACCAACACUUUGAAUUGUGCUCGGAAACGUACUGGGAGCCAAUGUAGGUCUUUCAAGACCGGUGUUAUAUGGUCUCGGCGGCCGCUCCCAGUCACCAGUCUAGCUGCUGCAUUCUGGAUUAGUUGUUGUUUCCGGGUCACCUUCAAAGGUAGCCCCACGUAGAGCUCAUUGCAGUAGUCCAAGCGGGAGAUAACCAGAGCAUGCACCACUCUGGCGAGACAGUCUGCAGGCACAUAGGGUCUCAGGCUACGUACCAGAUGGAGCUGGUAAACAGCUGCCCUGGAUACAGAUUUGACCUGUGCCUCCAUGGACAGCUGUGAGUCCAAAAUGACUCCCAGGCUGCGCACCUGGUCCUUCAGGGGCACAGUUACCCCAUUCAGGACCAGGGAAUCCUCCGCACCUGCCCGCCUCCUGUCCCCCAAAAACAGUACUUCUGUCUUGUCAGGAUUCAACCUCAAUCUGUCAGCCGCCAUCCAUCCUCCAACCACCUCCAGACACUCACACAGGACCUUCACCGCCUUCACUGGUUCUGAUUUAAAAGAGAGGUAGAGCUGGGUAUCAUCCGCAUAGUGAUGAACACCCAGCCCAAACCUCCUGAUGAUCUCUCCCAGCGGCUGCAUGUAAAUGUUGAAAAGCAUGGGGGAGAGGACAGAACCCUGAGGCACCCCACAAGUGAGAGCCCAGAGGUCUGAACACUCAUCUCCCACCACCACUUUCUGAACACGGCCCAGGAGGAAGGAGCGGAACCACUGUAUGACAGUGCCCCCAGCUCCCAGCCCCUCAAGACGGUCCAGAAGGAUGUUAUGGUCGAUGGUAUCAAAUGCCGCUGAGAGAUCCAGCAGAACUAGGAAACAGCUCUCACCUUUGUCCCUAGCCCGCCGGAGAUCAUCAACCAGUGUGACCAAGGCAGUUUCAGUCCCAUGAUGAGGCCUGAAUCCUGACUGGAAGGGAUCCAAAUGGUCCGCUUCUUCCAGGCGUGCCUGGAGUUGUUCAGCAACCACUCGCUCAAUCACCUUGCCCAAGAAUGGAAGAUUUGAGACUGGGCGAUAAUUGGCCAUCGUGGCCGCAUCUAAAGAUGGUUUUUUAAGAAGCGGUUUAAUAACCUCCUCUUUCAGCGGGUCUGGGAAGGCUCCCUCACGGAGGGACGCAUUCACCACCCCACGAAGCCCAUCGCCCAGUCCUUCCCGGCUAGCUUUUAUAAGCCAGGAUGGGCAAGGAUCCAGGAGACAGGUGGUUGGCUUCACUCGUCCAAGCAGCCUGUCCACAUCCUCGGAGGUAACAGGUUGGAAUUGAUCCCAUGCAACUUGACUAGACAGGACUCUAGCACUCUCCCGCCCUGGCCCUGUUCCCACAGUGGAGUCUACUUCUUCCCGAAUCUGAGUGAUUUUAUCUGCAAAAAACUUUGCAAAAUCAUUGCAGGAGAUCAUGUGGCCCGUACUGGGCCCAGACGUCGCAGGUGGUUCCGCUAAAUUGUGAACCACCUGAAAAAGUCUCCUGCUGCUGUUUUCUGCAGAUGCAAUAGAGGCGGCGAAGAAAGUGUUCUUCGCCGUUGCUAUCGCCACUUGGUAGGCUCGACGUUGAGCUCUAACCUGUGUCCAGUCAGAUUUGGAAUGAGUUAUCCACCACCGGCGCUCUAGCCGUCUCAACGAUUGUUUCAUUGCCCUCAGAUCCGUGGAAAACCACGGGGCUGUCCGGGCUCCAUGCAAUCGGAGAGGGCGCUUCGGAGCCAAACAGUCAAUAGCUCGGGUUAACUCCACAUUCCAGCGGGCCACCAGGGAAUCGGCUGAAAGGCCAUCAACAUGGGAUAAAGCAUCCCCUACCACUCUCUGGAAACCAUUUGGAUCCAUUAAGUGGCGGGGGCGGACCAUCCGAUAUAUAAUUCGAUACCUAAGCUCCUGAACAGCUCAUGAAUAGUUUAUGGUCCCUUCAAGUCCACUUUCCAUUGGCUGUUUCAAACAUGGACCUUACAACCCACCUAUCUUAUCCAAGUGUCCUCCUGAAUCACCCUUCAGCUAGUUCUUCUCUGUCUUUUAAUUGGCAAGCACUACCUUGGCCAGCAGUUAAAAUGGUGCAAAGAUAAGACCCUACCUUACAGCAUUCUCCAAAAUUUAUUUAUUGAAUUUAUUGAAUUUAUGUACCACCCUGUACCUGGGUGUCUCAGGGCAGUUCACAGAAACACUCAAAUAGCUCAUUGCUGAAGAGCGGAAGAGAGAUAGAAUCUCUGUACAAAAAUGGGGAACUAAGAGCCUAUAUUUUCAGAGACACUACACCAUAAUCAAUGGCAUGAAUACAUUCAGAGAGAUAAAAAGGAAAAUAAAGUUCGCACUCUCCCACCCCACUUUGGGUAAAGGUCAUUCAUCUCAGAGACCAAUGGUGACUUUGUCCCAUGCGCAGCCCUUAACCCAGAUUAUUUCUAGAUCAUGUUUUCAUCCAAGAACACUUGCAGCUGUCCUAGGAAAAUUGUAAUUGUAAUUAAGAUGCUCACCAUACAUUUGAUCUUGGAAGUUCCUGAUCGCAACAUGCUGGCUGAAAAUGGUCUGCAGUGCCCAUCCUGCUUCUCCAAAGGAAGGGAAAACUGUAAAAGUGAGACGACCAUCAACUGCCUUGAGAAUGAGACCCAAUGUGUUGAUUUUAGAGGAGCU